rnacentral:lncRNA from 1 species
AAAUCCAUGAAAUCUAGAAAGUCCUUUGAAAACACAGCAAGAUUCUUGCUGAAGGAGGAGGAUAGACACUGCUUUCUGUUGCAGGAUCAUUUUCGGAAGAGCAGACAGUGAGGAAAUCUGAACCCAGGUAUCUCUUACCACACACACAGCAGCAGUCUGCAAAUCCUGUGGGGCUCUGACCAGUUCAGAACAAAAUCGUGUGUCAAUGGCAGUCAAGUCUGGUGACUCGGAUUUGGCCCUGCGUUUCCCACUCCUGCUGCAUCUUACCCAGUCGAGGAACGAAAGGUCUUGACACCUUCCUGAAGCAUGGGAAGAAAGGAGGUUCUGAAAGCACAGAUCCAAGACCACCAGAGGCCGGGGACAGCGAUUCCUGGAGGGGCCGCUCACACAACACCAGGAGCUGAGGAGAACUGGAGCAGGAGGAACAUGGGCCCAACAAGGGUGGAAAUACCAGCAAUUCCAAAAGUCAUCUACAUCAGUGCCCAGGACGCCCAUGCAGAACCCACUGAAUGGAAGAAAACGUGGUGGCUGCUUCCUCAAUUUGCAACUGCAGAAGCUGGAAUAAGGGCCUGAGAAGGCAGAGAAGCCACAUGAGUCCAGUCCCAAAGCUGUCAGAGUAACCCUGAGGGAACUGUCUACUGAAUUAUGACCAGUUGUGCCAACAGACAUUGAGAAGAGACCUCCUUUCCAUUGGCUCCUAUCACACCUGGCUGCCACUGCUCCUGGGAUCUGGACCAUCUUGUAUCCACCUUUGAGCGUCACUUCCUGUUUCAGCUGUGGGAGUUCUGGUCCACUUUCCCUGUGAAGAAACCUUCACUUUUUCCUCCUUUGGAGUUCUGGAUUAGACUCUUGUACCUGGAACUGGGUCAAGUUAGGCUAAACGCACCUCUAGGCAUUCCUGUUUCUCAGAAGUUGUCAAGUUCACAUCAUACCUGUUUCAUUGGUGACCAGGGGUCCACUUCUAGCAGAUGCUACCUGGCCUGGUCAGUAUUUUUCAUGGUCAUCUCUUUAGUGCCUUUAUCUCAUCCCCUGCCCAACUCAGGUGAGACUUGCCCAGUGGUGACUUCUCUCCUGGUACUUUAGAUAGGGAGAGAAAAUGUGGCUUGGUGGAUCUGCCAUCUUCUUCAGUUUGGAGGCAAUUGGAGCAUGGCUCCAUCUAGGGAGGAAAAUGACUCCGAAAGAGACUGUCCUUAUCUCAGCUUCUGCCCUGUUCUACUCUCACAAUCCUUAUUCUUGCCCUUUGUGCCUGUCCUAAUGCAGGAGAAUUGUGGUUUUCUUUUUUCUAUUAAAUAUAACUGUAGCUAUUUUCAUUAUUGCAAAACAGCACAAGCUUAUUACGAAAACAUGAGAAAUAUAGACAAUAGAAGACAAAAAAUAUUCCCAAAUUUUAUCCCAAAGACAAGACAACUAUUGAUUCAUAUAGUUAUACAAUAUCAUACACAUAUACUACAUAUAUUUAUAUAUUUAAUGUGACUAUAAUAUCACAAUACCAUUUAUAUUCUUUGAUAACACAUCUUGUCAUUUAAUGUCUUAUGAAUAUAUUUCUAUAGCAACAAGCUCAGCUAUACUGAAAUUUUAAGAGUACUCAAUUGUAUAUAUGCCCUCAUUUAUCUCAUCUCACAUAGUUUAAUGUUUAGGCUGUUACCUCCUUUUCUAUAUUGUCAUUAAUGAUCAUGGAUUUAGUUUAAUCUUCCUAUAAUUAUUUCCGUAAGGUAAAUCCUUAGAAAGGGAUCGAAGGAUGAGUAGUAAAGGUUGCAAAGCUCUCCGAAUCUGGAGCCAGCAAUAACUGCUCAGACUCCCUUAAAAAUAAGAGCUCUAGGAAGGCCACACAUGCCCUUUCCCAGAUUCCUUCCCAUAGCUACACUUGGGCAGCCCUGACUUCUUUCACCUUGCCCUGAACGGAGAAUAGCCCUGAGAGAUGGCUGAGGAACAGGUAGUGAAUGAGCGAGUGGUGGUGUCAGUUUGGGUUUGGUUUUUGGAUAAACUUCACAGUUCCUCAUUGGAUGCUGAGAAAUGAUUAUUCAUUCAUGACCCAUUUAUGGAAGAGCCAUUGCUUCCAGAUGCCAGGCUAGAGGCUGAGAAGACAGAGAUGGAUUAAACAGGAAUUCUUCUCUCAGGAAUAGCACAGCCUAGGGAAGGAAGGCCCGUGAUAGACAGCACACAUUUACUCCAUGAUAAAGAGGAAACGUAUAAGAUCAGUAAUAUAUCUCAGGGAAGAAAACUGGAACCAUCUAAAAUCCCACAGGGAAAAUAUGAGGUUCCUGCAGUCUACUAGCCCAUUCAUCUCAGCUAACACCUUUGUGUGGAUCCUUUGGUGGUGAGACUUGCUCGCUUGUGGUCAUCCUUGCUAAACACAACCUGCCCAAAGGCAUUGACCGUGUCCUUCCUUUGCACCUCUAGCAAACUGGUACCAUCUUAUACCAUGGCUUCUGAAAUCUGUUCAGUGUAAAAUCCAAAUUAGAGUAAACAAAAUUAAAGGUAAAGAGAUUCAUGAGUUGAAACAAAGACUCAAUGUUUUAUGUAUGUAAGAAAAUUUGCAUUAAUUCAUAUCCUUCUGCCUGAUAGAAACUUUCUCAGAUAUUUCAUUAUAGAAGAAACAAUCACAUUCCAGAAAAUGUGGGAAGUAGAGAAAAGGAGAAUUAUCAGCCCAUCUCACCAUCCUAACCCAGGGCAAAUAGCAUUCUAGUGACCUUUGCCCUGAAAAAUUUGUAUUAAGAUGGUGUUGAGGACAAGAGCUAAGGAACAUGUGAGUUUUUCAUCUCCAAUUUUAUUGUGAAUAAAUAUAUCUGAUAGUGAAUUAUAUUCAUGUAGUUCAAAAUUCAAAAACACAAAAACAGAGACUGAAAAGUCCAUGAACCCCAGCCUCUAUUACUUGGAGACAUCCAGGAGUCUCAGUGUCUUGUGUAUCCUUCUAGAGUUUUUGUGCAUAUUAAACCAUGCGUGUUUAUAAAAUAUGAGUUUUGACUAGAGGGCUUUGGCAAAACUGUUACCAAAUGUCCUAAAUUUAGCUAAACUAUCUUCAGUAAUUUUAAUGGCAGGCCUGAGGUACAGAUGGAGAAGAGAAAAGGAUGGAGAGAGCGAGAGAGAGAGAGAGAGAGAGAGAGAGUGCUCCUGAGGGAGAGCGUGAAAGAAAGAGCAAUCUUUCAUUUAUCCAACUAGUAUUUAUUGAGCAGAUAUUACAUCUCAGAUAUUAUUCUAUGCCCAGGUGAUACAAGAGUGAAAAAAAUUCCCUGACUUCAUGGGGAUUAAGAAUGGAAGGUGGCAAACAAUAACCAUAAUCAAAAAGUAAAUUAUAAAGUCCAUCAGAAUGUGAUAAGCGUUAUGGAAAAACACAAGUGGGGUCCAGGAGAUGAGGCACAUCAGGAGACAGUUUUAACAUGAGUGGUCAGGGAGGGCUUCACUGAGGAGGCCUUAAAGGAGGCGAGAAGAUGGGCCCUGCAGAUACUCAGGGAAAGGGCACUGCAGAGGGAAGAAGCAAUGCACAGGCCUCGCAGCAGAAGUCAAGGCCUGGAGGUUUCCAGCAGCCAACCUCCUCCAGCUCCGGGCUGUUCCUGGUAACCUGUGCCCGCAGCUGGCUUCCCUUGGAGUUCAGGUCAGGCCGGUGUGUUUGGGCCAUAGUGCUAAGCUUACUGUAUACUAGACGUCAGUUUGUCUUCUCUCUAAAUUUUGAUUCUGAUGCUUAAUUUGACUCCUUCCAAGGUGAUUCUGUGGUUAGUCUGAAUAAGGAAAGGAGAGGGGCAGUGUUAUUGUAGUAGGUAGACAAGGUUGACAUUUGGGGGUCCUGGCUUUUAAACCAAUUCUGUUUUCAAGUCUUUUGUCAGACACAUUAUUCAACCUUUCCGGUCCUCAGGUUUGUCUCUUAGGAAACAAAAAGAAUGUGCUUAGUUGGCUUUAGGGCUGUCCCUACCAUUGGUUUUCAAGCUCUGUGACCAUGUGAGCAGUCCAGGUAGGAAGUGGCAUCAGAUGACAUCUAGCAACACCAGGGGACACAGAGGAGCUUCUGCCUGCAGAGGACUGUGUGCAUGAUAUGUGCCGCCACCUCGUUUCCCUUCUAGACUAGAAGAGCCCAGACCAGAAGAGCCCAGACCAUCCUUCAAAUAGAAUAUUUCACCUGAAUAAGCCCAGAAUUCCCUAAGUGAACAGAGGAGACAUGGGGACACGGUUAAUUGCUUUGUUCUUGUGCCGUUGGCAGUAUGGUUCCCUUUAAGCCCAGAAGGGCUCCUUUCCCCUGCCCCUUGGCGGAGCUCAUUCUCCAUAGGCAGUAGGGGUGGCAUGCUGGGGCCAGGGCUCCUUGUUUUGUUCCUUUGGGCCACAGAGGUCCCCUCCCUGUUUAGUGUCUUCCAGUUGGACACAGGGAGUCUUCGUCUACCUGGGGAAUAAGACACUGAGGAGGAGGGAAGCGUGUCAUGGACACCACUCUCCUUCCAGCAAAGUCACUGUGAAUUUAAAACUCAGACUGUGUGUAAGAGGUUGUGGGGGCAGAAAGGGGCCUUUGGAAAUUUCAUUUGGAGGCAGAGGUGCUAAACAUGAAUAGAAGCCUUUGCUUUGACUCUCAGAGGGUGAGUCACCUUGGUUAUAGUUACUCUUGGUUAUUCCUUGCUUUUUCUUUUGUUAUCUCCGCCCGCACCCCCGCCAUACCCACCCAUCUUUAGCAUUCUUAGCUGCUUUUCUACAGGUCAGCUGAAAAGUGACUUGCAGAAUAGGGCUUCUCUUCCCCUAUUGGAGUUCAUGGGCAUUAUGUUUCCUAGCACUGGGAGGAAAUAUACACGACCAUGCACUUUCCACUCAUAAAGGACCCUGAGGUAUUUAAUUGUGAAAAUCAACUUCUGAUUUAUGUUACUUUCCCAGUGCCUUUUCUUUACACACAUAUGAAAAUUGCUCUAUUACUUCUUACAUUUCAUGCAGUGCCCUUUGUCUCCAUCAACUGUUGUGGAGAGAAAUUUUAUUUGGAAUAUUCAUAACAAGUCUAUCGCUAAUUAUCACUUUAACAAUGUGUUAUGGAGUGUAUCCAUGCAGUCAUCUGGAAAAGCACAUAUGCCAUGAAAUUUGGGGACUUGCUGUGUGCUGUAGGUGCCCAGUCUCAGUGUUUCAUCAGAUCUUUGCUUGGGGAGGAGGUAGAGGUGCUUUGUGAGGGAGUAUGGAGGCCUGCAUCCUGCAUUCCUGUCCUCAUAGCAACAGUUUCCAGGGUGACUUGUUUUUGAGUGUAAAAAAAACCUUAAUGUGAAACAAAAACCCUUCCCUACUCUGCAGCCCUAUUACGGUCAGCCCAGGUCAGUGCCAGGUAGACUGAUCUUAGCCACAGAGCUAAUCGCAGAUGAAGACCCUGCUGUUCUUGGUGCCAUCCUGGCACUCUGGCAAGAAGAGUGGAGCUAAAAUUGCCACCUGGUUGGCAGGCCUCAGAAGCAAAUGGAGAGUGACCUCAGCAUGUCAGAAUGAGAAAGGAAAGAAUGCCUCGGUGUUUCUUUCUUCCUGCUCUCUUUUCUCUGGGAAAGGAGAAUGGACUCACACUGGGUUUCUUCUCCAGGAUUCUCAGUGAGUCUGGGAUUUGGGAGGCUAGAAUCAUAUUUUUACCAGGACACAUGGAGCGCUUCCCUCUGAAGCUUCCUGAUGGACAUGGAUGAAGCCCCAGAGGCUGCCUCCAAAUGAGGGCAGAGUAAUGGAGCCUAAUGGAGCACAGCUCCUAGUCUGAGCACAGUCCUACCGCAGGGAUAAAUCAAGCAGCCUUUAGGUGGGGCCAGGAAGGGGACAGAGGGAAAUGAAUGACUGUGUUGAGCUCAGCAUGACUUUGUGGAUCCUCUGAAGCUUUUAACUAAGUGGAGGAUUCAGACUCAGGAAUUUACUGAGGAAUAUGACUUGGAAGGAUGGAAAGUUGCAUCUGUUAUAACAAGCUUUUAAGGAUGAGUUUUCAGAGCACUUGGAGCCUGGUUUUGUUGGAUGUUACUUUAGAAAUAAUAACUACUUAUUAUUUGUUAAGUGCUUACUCAGUACUAGGCACAUUGUUCAUCAUAAUCAAUAAUACCUAACAUUGAUGGAGUAUUUGUGAUGUACCAAACUCUCAAGCACUUUAGAUUCUGACUUAACUAGGUCCUAGAAGGAAGCCCCCAUUGGAGUCAUCACUAAUAUGUAGAGAAAUUGAGGCUCAGGGUAUUAGAUAACUUACCAGAAACACUAAGGAAACCAGUAGCUUUAGGUCAGUCACUUACCUGUUUCAGGACACAGAGCACAGAGGCUUUCCCCCUUUACCCUUUAUGAAACAGCAGGAGAGGACGGGGGCUGUAUCUCAGUGGUAGAGCUCUUGCCUAGCGUGUGCAAGGCUCUGGGUUUGAUCCCUUGUACCACAAAAACAAAACAACCAUAACAACAGCAAAACCAGCAGGAGAAAGUGCUGAGAAACAGCAAGAAAGUGGGGCACUGAAAGGGGACAGGAGUCUGUGUAGCCCUGGGUCAGUGCUGGUACAAAGCUGGCCUUAUGACCUGGGUGCUUUGCAUCUGUUAUAAUGCACUGUGAAAACCCAGUGUUAGCUGUUGUCCUAAAGAACUGAUUCAAUAAACCCUACAUUUCUGGACAUUUGGUUUCCUUGUUUCUAUUUGGGUGGCACUAGGAUUUGGGAGGAGCUAGUUGGGAAUGUAUUUAAGGAGGAAAACUUUGGAUGUGGUUUUAGAAACAAGGCACCACAACCAGACUGUGAUGCAGGCUUCAUCUGUGGACAGGUGUAUGUGGACAGGUGCAUUGUGCAGGCACCAGCGCGGGCAGAGGAAGUGGUAGGUUUGAAGGUAGCAAAAUAGGGCGGCUUUGUUGUUGUCUGGCAUGGGCCCUGCCAGGCCACAUCCAUUAACUAUGCCAACACCACUGCUAAUAGGUGGGUGAUUCAGCUCCUUCCUGCAUUUUAUUGCCCAACAGAGACUUUAAUAGCCUUUUGAUUUAGCAAGUUAACAAAGUAAGCUCUCAAGCUCCACUGUUUAACACCAGCUGGAUGACCCUGGGCCUGCUGCUGCCUGGAGCCCUCUGGUACAGUCUUUGCAUUGAAAGAAGAGAAAGCUGUGGAAUUUUCAGGCUCUCCUCGAGAGCUCCUUUUGGGGCAGCCCUGCCAGCCCAGCAUGCUUAGACCCCUCCGAUGUCAUAUGUCGCCCCCGCCCCCAUCAGUCCAGCCGCAGAAGAGAUCUGUCUAGAAGUUAAUAUCCCAGGAACCUAAAGGUUGGGUGUCUUUGAGGAAGAGUGUCAGAUGAGAAUGUGAGGGUUCCCGGAUGGGGCUCUUUAUUGAUUUCCUGGAACUAUUGUGUAACAAAUUAUCACAAACUGGAUAAUUUAAACAAUAAACACAUUCUACCACAGUUCUAAAAGCCAGAAGUUUGAACUCAAGGUGUUGGUAGGGCCAUGCUCCCUCAGAAGGCCCUAGAGAAGGACCUUUGCAUGUCUCUUACUGGCUUCUGGUGGUUGCCAGUGAUCCUUACUGUCCCUUAGCUCGUAGACACAUCACUCUGUCUCUGCCUCUGUGGCCACACAGCCUUCUCCCUGUGUACGUCUUAUAAGGACACAAGCUGUAUUGGAUUUGGGGUCCACACAACUCCAGGAUGCUCUCAUCUUAACUAGUUACAGCUGGAAAGGCCCUGUUUGAAAGCAACAUAAGAGUCUGAGGUUCUGGGUGGACCUGAAUGUCCAGGCCCUUUAAAAGCAAGUGAAAAGAGGUAGGCCAUGUGGUAGCUGAUUCACACAGCUAGAGAGAGGUGGUUUCAGACAACACUUUCUGGUACAACUUUGUGCAGUGAUGGGAAGGCCCUGUAGCUGCACUGCUGAAAAUGUGGCUAAUGCGACAGAGGAACUGAAUUUAGCAUUGUGAUUGAUUUAAAUUAAGUUAAACAGUCAAGUCAUGUGACCAGGGGCUACUGUUGCAGAGAGCAAAGCCCUCAACCAGUGAAGGUGAACCUUUUAGAAACUGAGUGCCCAAACUGCAACAUAGAACCUACUUAUUUAUCGCAAAGUGCCAACACUGCCAUUAAACCCGAAUACUGAGGCUUUAGUUUAGAAAAGACAACUCAUAUAAUAAUAUCUUUUGUCUUGAAAGAAAAACAAAUAACACACGUGUCAUAGGUUCACCACCGCUGCCCUAAACCCUCCUGAGUGUGGAAUAGGAGAAGGAGACGUGAAGGCUGUCAAAGUCUGGGCAGGGCCAUUUGCAUCCAGGAUGGCCAUCAGCUGUUUAGGAUGCUGAUCAAGGUCUGCAGGGGUCUCUUUCCGUCUCCGGCUAGAGGAAGGACAUCACAUGGGAUCUCAGCACACAGGACAAUGGUCUCGGGAGUUCUUAAACCAGCAGCACCUCUUCCAAAGGAAGUCAUUUGUACUUUUGACAUGUAGGACCAUUAGUUGGAAGAGAGGCUGAUUUGGAUGGAGGUCAGAGACCUUCAUAGGGUUCCACCUUGCCUUCUCUUGAACCCUGAACCACAAAGUGAGGAAAUUAUGGUUGAGCCUACCAACCAUGUGAGAGAACAAGAAAUGGAGGUUCAGAGAAGUAGAGAAACUUAACAAGGUCACAGAGCAAGUGGUUUGAUGAAUAUCGUUAUCUUUGGAUUUCUGAGGAUCCAUUCCUGGGUCCUUCUAAAGUCCUUGAUGCCCUUUUUGAAAGAAGAUACUCAGUCUACUAGUCAGCUACUAUGAAAAAACUACUCUAAGGUCAGAUGCAACUUCUGGCUUAAUCACAACAGAAUUAAUGUUUGUUCGGUUGCUGGUUUUGUUUUGUGAACUGGCUGAGAUCUGUAGGUGAGUAUUAUGCAUGGGUACCCUUUCCAGGUGCCACUCAUCAAAUGCACACUAUAUGCCAUUACAGGCUGAGUAGAGUCCUUCAUUUCAUUGUAUCAUUGAAUCUCCAUAGGUUGGUGAUGUUGGUAUUACUGAUCCCAUUUGGGGAAAACUGAGGCUCAUGGGAGUGGGAGGCAGGGUUCCCAACCCAUGCCUUUUGCUCAGGGAGUUGCUGUCUCCUUAGAAGGAUGGUAAAGAAAUAUAAAAUAUCUGUCAUGAAUUAGGAAGAAUGUCCUAAAAUCUCAAGGUGCCAUUUAAAGGCAAAGACCAGUGUGGCUCGUGAGGGAAGGAGAGGCCAGACCAGGAGGUGACCACAAGCAGGUACAAGGCAGCCAGGCAUCCCAACGCAAUGCUGUGGUAAGAAAGCAAGGAGUAGAACAGCGUUGUGGAAAGUGAAAACCGCCUAGGAUGUGUGGGAGGCUGGAGGCAGAUGGGUGUGGAUGAGAAGGGCAAUAGGAGGGAUCCUUGUGUGAUGGAAAUGCUCUGUCUUUUCCCUGUAUCCAUGACUUGCCAUGAUAUUGUGGUAUAAGGUAGUUUUGCAAGACGUCGGCAUUGGGGGAAACUGGGUGAAGGGUACGUGAGAAUUCUAUGUGAAUCUAUACAAGUUUAAUUUUUAAAAUAUAUACAGAGUCUACUCCCAAAAAUGUAUAUACACUCCAAGAAAAGAAAUAUAGGAUGAUGUUUUUCCAACCCUCGUAUGGGGAAUCCUAGAGGAUGUCGUAUAUCGCAGAAAACCCACUCCACUGCUAGCCCUUAGAGAAGAAAUUAAAAGUACACGUGCAGCAAUUUCAAUGACCAAGGUUACACAAGCAGUAGUUGGCUGUACUAACAAAGUUCUGGAAGCCAGUGACCACACUUUGGCCACCUCUUGUAACUGUAGAGGCUGAAGGUAACUUACAUUAAACUCAUGAUGUCUCAAUAAAUUUAGUAUUAAAAUAUUUAUACAAGCUUUUCUUUUCUUGAAGUGCAUAUACUUUUUUGGUGAACUCUGUAUAUAUAUGGGAGAGAGAGUGGAGUUCACAGACCCCCAGCCCUUCACCCCUUGCAUGCACUCCAGGAGAAGCUUGCAUGGUGUCUUUUUGCAGCAAGGUAUCUUCAGGUGUCUGUCCUGGAUGCCUUUGGGCAGGACCAAGAGGAAUACAUGCCUGAGAGCUAGGCAGAUGGCACUCGGAGAGACAGAUGGCCAGAAUCCCCAGAGGUGGGAGCACUCACUGAGCACCUACUAGGUGCCAGGUGCUGUUCCAGGGCUAGAGACUGAGGUUAGGAAAGCUGGUGCAGCUUCCCACAGGUUUGCAUUGUACAGUUGAAGACAGAUGUAAACCAGGAACAGGGCAAUGCCAGGUGGUGACAGGUGCUGUGAAGAAGAUGAAAGAGCAGAGUGUGACAGAGUAGCUGGGGGCUGCUUUUGCUGGAGCAGUCAGGGAAGGCUUCUUUGAGGAAAACCUAAGUGAGAAGGAGGCAGCCAUGGGGACAUGUGAGGGAGAGUAUUCUAUGCAGGAGGAAGAGCAGGUGCAGGAUCUCUGAGACAGGAAUAAGCUUGUGCACGAGGGGCAAGAUGAAGACCAUAGGAAGGGAAGCACUGGCAUUGGGAGCUGGAGGGCGAUGAAGCUAAAAAGACAGGCAAAGGCCAGAUCCUAUAGGCAGGUGCUUGCAGAUGUUGGUAAGGAGUUGGUAUUGGGAGUCUCUGGCAGGUCUGAAGUAGGUACAUGGCCAGCUAUGUGUGGAUGGGUUUUAGAAGGGCAGGAGUGGAAAAUAGUAGACCACAUUGUACUACUGCAAUGGUCCAUGCAAGAGGGCAGUGUCAUGAGUAGGGCUUUGGCAUUGGCAUGGGAAACCUGUUGGAUUGGGGUUGCUCUGAGAGGAGAGCUAUCAGAGAUUUGCUGGUGGUUUACACAUGGAUGCGAUGGCAAGAAAAAGAUCCAGGAUGAUUCCCAGGUCUGCUGUUUCAUUCUAUCCCAGCUAACUCCAAAGGACUGGUCAGAGAAUGUCCUUCAGAGAAUAGCACUAAAAAUAGAUGAGAAUUGGGCUGAGCCUCAAAAAGUGUGGGUUGAAGGGGUGACCCCCUCACCAGUUUCACCACUCUGGUCCUUAGGCUCUUUCUUGCUGCAGGGAGCAGACCUGCUCUGCUUUUCUUGUACAUGGAGCUGAUUGUAAGAUGGUGGUGAGGUGAGGGGGUUUGGCAGCCAUCCUGGCAGUGGUCCUGUGACACCCAGGAGAACGGGGGCACAGUCUUCCCCCACCUAAGCAGCUAUCAGCAGACAUCAUAUACUGUCCAUGUCUCCACUGUUCUGAGCCAGCUGUGGUUUGGAGCCCCCUGCAGACAUGCUGCCUCCUCCUUCACUCUCUGGGCUGCACACUCCAGAUGCCCUGCAGGGAGAGUCUCCUAGGAUUGGCUGGUCCAUCCAGGCCAUGUCUGCAGGGCAGAGGGCUCGGGCCAGGCCAUUGCCAAGGCAGCUGGAGUCCUUGAUGCAUCCCCCAAAAGCCAUUGCCUUUGACUUGUUCUGGGCCUAGUUGUGGCCCAAGCAUCAUGGAACAGAAAAUGUGCAUAGCAGCACAAGUGCCCGGGGCUGGGUGUGACCUCCAGAGGUGUGGCAGGCAUUGGCAUAGACGUCCUGGACACAAAAGCUGUGCAAUUCAGGAAGGCCAGUGUCCAGUGGAUGAGAAGGACCUAACAUGUCAGUAAGGUGGACAGCUUCUGUCGGCAAAAGUGGGAGGCACGCAGAAAAUAACCUUGGAUUUGUGUAAUAGUAUCUCUUGUGAUGUGGGAUUAAUUUUAUCUUUGGUGCUGCAUCUUUGGUGGCCCAGGGAACGCUGCAUUUCUCCACUCUCUUCCGUCCAUCAAAGUGGCUCCUCAAAGAGCACUUCUCACAUUCCUCACCCCAAGGAUAGAACAGAAUCACCUCAAGCACAGAACCAUGGCCCUAGGGGACAUGGCCUUCACCUGCUUCCUUUUUAUCUGCCUCGCCUAAUUCAUCUUUCCUUUCUUUUUCUCCCUUAAUCCCUCGAAGUUAGCCAGGGAGGGGCAGAAAGGAAUCUUGGUUUUUGUCUGACUCUAUAGGAGUACAGUUGCUAGAACUGAACUGUGUUUCCCCUAAAUUCCUAGGUUGAGCCCGAAUCCUACUGUAAGUGUAUGUGGACAGAGGCCUUGAGGGGGGAAAGGGUCCUGCAGAGCACUGGUAUUCUUAGGAGAAGAGACGCUAGAGGUUGCUUCCUCCCCUGCACACACAGAGGAAAGUUCAUCGGGGUCAGACAGAAGGCAGAUGUCUACAAGCCAGGAAGAAAGUCCUCACUAGACAGCUAAUCCUCAGAACCUUGAUCUGAGACUCCGCAGCCUCCAGAACUUUGUGAAAUUACAC